rnacentral:snRNA from 1 species
AUCGCUUCUCGGCCUUUUGGCUAAGAUCAAAUGUAGUAUCUGUUCUUAUCAGUUUAAAGCCUGCUGCAGCAAGUAGCAAGGUGCUGUCUGUACAAGUACCAUGC